GUGGGGAAUCUUCCGCAAUGGACGAAAGUCUGACGGAGCGACGCCGCGUGAGUGAAGAAGGCCUUCGGGUCGUAAAGCUCUGUCAUCAGGGACGAACGGCCGGUGGAGUGGAAAGCCACCGGAUUGACGGUACCUGAGAAGGAAGCCACGGCUAACUACGUGCCAGCAGCCGCGGUAAUACGUAGGUGGCAAGCGUUGUCCGGAAUUAUUGGGCGUAAAGCGCGCGCAGGUGGGAUCUUAAGUCCAUUUUUAAAGUUCGGAGCUCAACUCCGUGAUGGGAUGGAAACUGGGAUUCUUGAGUACCGGAGAGGAGAGCGGAAUUCCCCGUGUAGCGGUGAAAUGCGUAGAUAUGGGGAGGAACACCAGUGGCGAAGGCGGCUUUCUGGACGGUGUCUGACACUGAGGCGCGAAAGCCAGGGGAGCGAACGGGAUUAGAUACCCUAGUAGUCC
rnacentral:rRNA from 1 species